rnacentral:rRNA from 1 species
CUUUCACUCUGGCGGCAUGCCUUACACAUGCCAGUCGAACGGUAACGGGCCUUCGGGUGCCGACGAGUGGCGAACGGGUGCGUAAUACAUCGGAACGUGCCCGAUCGUGGGGGAUAACGAGGCGAAAGCUUUGCUAAUACCGCAUACGAUCUACGGAUGACAGCAGGGGACCGCAAGGCCUUGCGCGGACGGAGCGGCCGAUGGCAGAUUAGGUAGUUGGUGGGAUAAAAGCUUACCAAGCCGACGAUCUGUAGCUGGUCUGAGAGGAUGAUCAGCCACACUGGGACUGAGACACGGCCCAGACUCCUACGGGAGGCAGCAGUGGGGAAUUUUGGACAAUGGGCGCAAGCCUGAUCCAGCCAUGCCGCGUGCAGGAUGAAGGCCUUCGGGUUGUAAACUGCUUUUGUACGGAACGAAAAGCCUUCUUUUAAUACAGGAGGGUCAUGACGGUGCCGUAAGAAUAAGCACCGGCUAACUACGUG